rnacentral:tRNA from 1 species
UGGCUCAGUGGUAGAGCGCGUGCCUUGCAUGCCUGAGGCCCUGGGUUCGAUUCCUUG